UUCUAAUUUGGCCAAAAUUCAUGAAUGGCAAUACCAGUCACUUAUUUCAAUAGCAUAUCAUAAAGCAGUUCUUCCAGCAGGACCAGCAGAACGGCAUAAUGCAUGAGGUCCUCGGAGGUGCAGGAUAGCACUCUGCAAUCCCUGCAAGUAUUACAUCCACUAGGCCUUUCAGCGUUCAACAGAUUUUUGUUAAACAUACGUGCAUUUUCCAAAUAAACUAAAGAGAGCUAACAGAAAGAAAAUCUUAUUUAGAACAGGGCAUUGCAAUAAAGGAAUGCAGGUACGUAUCUCCUGGGCCUGGUAGCUGUCACGGCCUGGGAGUGCACAGCUGGAAGAACCAUCUAAGCUCAGGCUGUGAAGCUUGUGGAAUUUGCUGGUAUAUGGUACCCUUCUCUUCAGGUCCUUCUGAUCCCCUGCUUGCAGGUGACUGCUCCUGUUGCAAGGUAGGCUGAAGGCUGUUGAGCAUCUUCCAGUCAGGUUUGGUGCUGCCUCUGCUCAGGUUGUCCGUCACAGGCUCUUCUCAUGGCAGGCACUCCCUGUGAUAUUGCCCAGGCCCUGUGCUCUGAAUCUCACACUGCUCUCCACCUCUCCCUCUUUUCCUGCGAUCAUGUCCUCCAAACCUCUGAAUGCUUUCCUUUCUUCAGGACCUCCUCUUGAACCUCCUUUCCUGAGCCCCUGCCUGCCUUGAAUGCCUGAGUCAGUCUUUCUGAUUUUGUUCCCUUCCUUUCACAGAGCCUGGCAAUGAGGGACCAGCAGGCCCCUGAAUCAGAAGAAACAACAGUGUCAGAAGUUAAUAACAACAUACAGAUGUUCUCCUGGUGUUUUGAGGAACCAUCUCUCUGAGAUGUCUGCUGCUCCAUCAGAUCUGUCUAAGAUUUUGUAUUGCUUCUUCACCUUUGUUCUGUCUUCAUUUGGAACAAGACUUUUAGGAGCGGUGAGCCCAAACAUUUCACUGAACUCAGAUCCUGGGAAUGAGCAUCCUGAUAUAGUGUUCUCAGAGGUCAGGACUGGAAGACUUUGUGACCCAAAUGAUAAGUUAUGAGGCUUUGGAGUUGUCAUUUGUGUCUCAAGUGAGCUGAGUGCAUGGAACUUAGAGGAAAAGUUCUCCAGUCCCUGCUCUUUCUCCAACCCUCUUAUCUGCUAAAUAUGCCCCUGGAGUUUUAUUUUAGAUUUGUAAAGCCAGAGUUAAAAAAUUACCUGAGGAUAAGAGCUAAAUUUUAUUUCUCUCAGAAAAGGAACCUUCAAAUGGUCUUCAUUGCUGUUACUGAUAUUAACAUUACAUGAAUGACCUUUUUAAUAAAGGUGAAAGGUGACCAAUCUAAGCUGGAAGAACAAUCUCUUCAGAACAAAGCAACCUCCUCAAACAUCUAUGAUCUUAUCCUUCAUGGUUUUGACUUUCUCUCUAACACAGAGAAUUUGCCCUCAUUUAUAAAAAGCAAAUGAUUAAAAUGUGACAUUUGCAAUUUGCCACUCAGAAGAAAAAUGAAGAGAAAGGAAACCAAAAAGAGAAGAACCUAAAGCUGUGAUGGACUCUCUGCAACUGCCUACACUGUUAAAUGGGGUCCUUGGAGGUGCUAAUUUGCAGCAGAGGUAACAGGGGUAUAAGACCAUUUAGGGAGUACUUGUUAGUAUGGGCUACAUAGGAAGACAGUGACCAGCAAAUUGAAGGAAGUGAUUAUCCCACUCUCCUUAGUUGGAGGGGCUACAUCUCUGCCCACUUUUGGGUGCCCUACAACUACUGGGAGGGAAUUUACAUAGAUACUGCAGCCAAAUUCCACCGGGCAAUGUCAGAUGCUAUAGCAGGGGAUAAUGGUCACAUACUGAGCUUGGGAGGUUCACGUUGGGUGUUAAGAAAAUGUUUUCUUUGGAUAAUGCAGGGCAGGAACAGGUUGCUCAUGGAGGUUAUGGGAUCUCCAUCUUUGUGAGGUUUCAUGUGUGGGUAGAUUAAGCCACAUUUGAUCUUAUCCUGUGUUGGCAAUAGCCCUGCUUCAAACAGAUGUUUUGUCUGAUCAAUACUUCUAUGAUUCUAUAUGGACAUUUCCAUUUGUGCUGCCCUGCCAUUGCUGGAGCUAGUUGGAAUGAUUAGUGAAUGCAAAACAUUUGAAAUACAUACAUGCUUUCACAAUCUGGUCUUUAUUGUCAGGUUUUCACAAACAAAAAACUCGAAUUUUAAUUCCCAAAUAUAUUUUCUACCAAAAUUCUUUUUCUGCUUUGUUCUAAAUUCAAUGCAGAAUAAAAGGUGCUUUUGAAAAGCUGAUAUGGAAUGCAACCAACAUCCUCUGGUUAAUGUUUAUCCUCUUGUCUUAGAAGAAAGUCUGGAAUACCAGAUUUUAGCCUCUGCUUGCUGUGUUAAUGCUUGUGUUUCAGUUCCCCUUUUCUUUCCAUCAUCUAACUUAGCCUUCAAGGUUCCUUUAGUGUAAGUAAAAAACUACUGGUUUAAAAAAACAUGAAGGAAAGUUAUGUUGCUAUGGAGAUGUUUGCUAUAAUGGUAAUACCUUAUUAUGCGUUAAGAUAAUAGAAUACUAUACUCCAUGAGAGGAAGACAUACAAACCUUGACAAAUGCAAAGUGUGGUAUUAUAUAAAUAUUUAAACACAGGUGUAAAACACACAAAAUACUCAGCAACAUCUCUUUCUGAAGAUUUUUGUCUAUAUAUACAGUGAGACAGUGAACAUGAAAUAAACAUAUUCUUGUAGAUGUUAUUUCAAAAUGUAUGUCUUAUGCACAUUGAUGUUAUGGCCACAGUGGUGUAAAAGCAAAAAGUGAGAGAGAAGAAGAAAUAAAAGAAUUC